GUGCCCAGCCGGCCGAUCACAGGAUGUGGACGUGAGUCAACCAAGCGAGAAGUUCCAUCUGGAAACUCGGGCAUGAGGUUUAAAUGUGGUCUGCUCUGCCUCAGGCUGGCUGUGACCUUGAGCUGGUGAUGUCCCUGCCUCAGUUUCCUCACCUUCUGAUGGAGAUGGGAGGGGAAGAAAGCAGCUGCCUCUGGGUGGUGGCAGAGAUGCCCAUGUCUAGGACCUCCAGGCCUUAACUAAUCAGGGGCACUGAUGAAGCCAGCGGGGCUCCACUGGGGACCACAGGCAAGACUGGGCCAGGACGAGGCGGUCACGCAGAGGAGCACGGGCCUCCCCGGGAGUGGGCUUCAGCCUCCCUAGACUCCUGUCUCCUUCCAAGGGCUAGGCCUGGGGGACCAGAAGCAAGAGUCCCUAGAGCGUCCAAGAUUUUUGGUUUCAAACCAAUUUCCUGCUGACCAGAAUGAAAUGGAGCCACAUUCCAGCACGAUGCACCUGCUGACCUCCUGCAAGUCAGGGACCUUCUCUGCCCCUCUUUUGCUCUGCUGCAGGAGGGAGAAGCUGGGAAUGUGUUCCUCUGGGGUCCCAUCACCUCCAGCCAGCCACUGUCCCUGUCUCCCCAAAACCUCCUCGUUGUCCCUCCUCUGUCCUCCUCCUCCUCCAUCUGCCUUCGCCCUGCUCUCCUCUUUUUCGCCUGAGGUUCGUGCUGCCUCCUCACCUCUUGUCCUGUUUCUCCCUUCUCUCUGCUCCCUCCUUUGAUCUUGCUAUUUUGCUUCUCUUUCCCUUCCUCUCUUCUCCUCCCUCCCCUUCCUCCCUGCUCCCUGCCUCAGCUUCUCAGUCUCUCUCCGUUCUUCCUCUAGCUUCCUUCCCUCCCCAGAAGACCCAGCCCUUCCUAGAGCCCCAGAAGCCAGGGUUCAUGCCCCAGCUCUCUACCCACACAUGCUGUGCAACCCUGGGCCAGUCACUGGUCUCUUGGGCCUCAGUUCAACAGAUGGCUGUCUUGGUGAUGUGAGAUCAUAGGGUGGAAGCACCCAGAAUGGUGCCAGGCACUCAAAAAUUUUUUUCUUUUCCUUUUUAAGGAACUACUAACCGUGAGGUUAUGGAUUACCAAACCGUUCCUGUUCUUGGAAUCUGGGUCCUACUAUUCCCAAGAAUUUGAAUUACCACGGGUCCCUGGGGAUGUAAGGGGAUGAGGCUUCUGAUGUACUUUGGGAGGGGGAGGAGUGGAAAGAGGAGUUGGGAGGACACUCUAGCAUUGCCCAGAGGGCAGAGGACAUUCUGCCUAUUUCCAGAGGUUAUUGACCCUGGAUCUCUUUUAUGGAGUUCCUCACCCAGGCCCCUUGAGCUUGGCCAUACUUGAGGCAAUGGGAUAUCUUCCUUCUCCUGGAGCCCCUUGAAUCUUAGGCCUCGGGAACACACAGUCUACUGUGUUUCUUGGCUGCACCCACGGAGGACAGCCCCCAUACUCCUUGCUUACAACCAGCAAAGACUCCACAGCCAUCCCUGCACACGACUCAGGCUCCUUGGCUUGGCACUCAAGGCUCUUUGCUUUCCUGUCCUGCUUUGCUUCCAGCUGCAAAGAUGGUGGCUUCCUGUUUUCCUCUUCGUUUCCUUUGCUUAAGUUGAUUCUCAGCCAGACAUGCUUUCCCCCUGCACGCUUCCCUAAGCCAUCCUAUCUGGGACCCUGACCCAAUCAAUGGUUCCCUAAUGCACCUUUGAGACCAAGUGUACCUGGCACCUCCUCUCUUGCCCCACUAUCUGCUCACAUGACCCUCUGCAGGCCUGUAAGCUGCUGGAGGCUCCGAGUAUGCCUCAUUCAUGUCUAUCCCCCUUACUAGGCCCAGACCAUGGAAGACACUCAAUAAAAAGUAAGUGAUUAAAUGACAACCUCUACGGAAAAGAGUAUGGAGAUUUCUCAAAGAACUAAAAACAGAACUACCUUUUGGCCAGAUGCAGUGGCUCACACCUAUAAUCCCAACAUUUGGGAAGGCUGAGGCAGGUGGAUUGCUUGAGCCCAGGAGUUCAAGAUCAGCCUGGGCAACAUGGUGAAACCCUAUCUCUACAAAAAAUACAGAAAAUUAGAUGAGACUACAGGUGGCACACAUCCAUAGUACCAGCUACUCCAGAGGCUGAGGCGGGAGGAUCGCUUGAGCCCAGGAGGUCCAGGCUACAGUGGGCCAAGAUCACGCCAUUGCACUCCAGCCUCAGUGAUAAAGUGGCAUUCUGUCUCAAAAGAAAAAGAACUGGCCAAGCAUGGUGGCUCACGUCUGUAAUCCCAGCACUUUGGGAGGCCGAGGCAGGUGGAUCACAUGAGAUCAGGAGUUUGAGACUAGCCUGGCCAACAAUGAUGAAACCCCAUCUCUACUAAAAAUACAAUAAUUAGCUGGGCGUGGUGGCGGGCGCCUGUAAUCCCAGCUACUCAGGAGGCUGAGGCAGGAGAAUCAUUUGAACCCGGGAGGCAAAGUGAGCCAAGAUUGUGCCACUGCACUCCAGCCUGGGCAACAAGAGCGAAACUCAGUCUCAAAAGAAAAAGAAAAAGAGAGAAAAGAAGAAAGGAAAAGAAAUAUCAUUUGAUCCAGCAAUCUCACUGAGUAUCUAACCAAAGGAAAAUAAAUCACUAUACCAAAAAGAUACUGCAUUUUUAUGUUUAUCACAGCACUAUUCAUAAUAGCAAAGACACAGAAUCAACCUAAGUGUCCAUCAACGGAUGAGUGAAUAAAUAAAAUGUUAUAUUU
ensembl:lncRNA SLC39A13-AS1 SLC39A13 antisense RNA 1